CUCUGUGGGUUAUUUCGGAGUAGACUUUUUAAAAAGUAUUCUAGACUAUUUUUUAACAUGACAGCUUACGUGCAAAGGAAAAAAAAAGCUCUAGGUAGCUUGCAAGUUGCUGUCAUUUUCCUUUGGGUACAAUGGUGACCAGUGGAAUGGUAUAAUGGUGACCAGUAAGAGCAUCUUUAAAAGAGGUUUUGCUAGGUGUCUUAAAUGGAGUGCUCAGAUAACGCCAUGUGUUGAUGUACACAUUUCACGAUUGCUAAUCCAGAGAGUGUUAUUUGUGUUGUGCUCCAGAUAAAGUAAAAUCCCGUGGAAAGUGUAGUAUGGCACCAUAUAGAUAAAGUUACAUGAUGUGACUGCACUGAGGUCUCAAGGGCAACCUUAGCUUUGCUGUUUUUUAACUUUCCAUGCUUGAUUUUGCAACACUAUUAUUGCUUUUAUGCUGGGUUUUGUGAAUAAUUUGCUAAGUUUUUAGAUGGAGGAAAUCCCUCCCUGCUCCGCCACCCCUGCCAGCCUGUAAAAAUCGCAUUUUGUGAGCUGAGACGUUGCUAUCGCAAACGGGGAAGCUCCACGCUUUUGUGGAAAACCAGAGGAAACGCUGAUGACCGUCAAUCACUGAGCUUAGCUCACAGGGGGCUGCCCAGGACUGCAGAUAACUUCCCGUCCUCUGAGGUUUUUAUUUUUACUCCCUGGAGCUGAUGACAUCUCCUGUCUUCCUUGAAACCUCUACGGGGUCCUACACAACUGCUUUACUUGGAGAGUCCUCCCUGAGCGGUGUGGGACGGAGUGAAUCUGCUCUGAGGCCUUCCCGCAGAGGUCCAUGCGGAGACAGGGGGAGGAACGAGGAUGUGCACAGAUUAUCCCACCCCAACUUAGACAACUGGCAGCCAUAUGUGGGUAUCCAGAAAUAAUAGGUAUGGUUUCAGUGGCAGAGCGCGAACCCUUGCCGGGACAUGCGAUGCUGUUGAUGCCGGCGGUUGUGCGGCGUGUCGAGGAAGCGAAGGGCCCUUUCCUCCUACGAGCAGCCCCCCGUGAGCACCAGCCCCUGCGCUCGGAGGACAGCGGCAGGAGGAAGGAGCCCCUGCGCUCUGGCCAUGGGGAGGACGGUCGUGGCAAGCCCUCGUGAGCCCUGCGUGGCAACGGGGACGUUCAGAAAAGUUCUUCUCUAACCUGCGUCGUAAGGAUUAUCUGCGAUCUGGUUACAUGAAAAGCAAAUACCCCUGUUGAACAAAGUGCCAGAAGAAGUAGCACUGAUGUUACGAGUUCUAGAUGUGAACAAGAUUUAAACUUCUGCCUAGUAUGCCUUUCCAAAUCAGUUUGUUACAAGAAAUGAUUAUCAUGCCCACAAAAACAGGCUGGGAGACGAAGGGCUAUCUGAACUGAUGCACGCUUACAUACUUCUUAAUGCGAGUAUUUAGCUCUUUCCAAAAGGAACCGAAAGCUUCUGGCAAGUUUGAGAACUGAGAACAGUAUUGAUACAGCAUUGUAAGUAGUCGAAUUAAGACCUCCUACUCCUUCAUAAACUCUUCUGGAAACCUGUCUAUGCUCUAAAGGCCACAGGCUAUUUUGUUCUGUAUUUCAUUAUAAAAAGAAGAUUGAGAAGUGACUCAAUUAUAAUGUAUAAGCACCUUCAUGGGAAGAAAAUACUGGGUACUAAAGAGCUCUCUCAUCUAGCAGAGAAAUGUGCCAUAAGAACCGACAUCUGAAAAACUAAAGUCAAAAUGAGAAAUAAAGCACGCGUUUUGAUGUACCCACUGGAACUCGCUGCUAGGAUUUAUGGUGGAUUCUACUUUUCUUGAUGUUGUGUUCAGAAAGGCAUCAUACAUUGUUCUGAAUAUUCUUCAGCUAUAUAUAAGUUGUUCAUCAGGGUAUAAGUACUGUGCUUAAUGCAAGGGUAUUUUGGUGAAGUCUGGUAGUUUAUGCUGUGCAUUUUAGGAUAGAUCAUCAAUAGUCCUUGCUUGCCUAAACCUCUCCAGAUCUGUGUUAGGCUUCCUUGUCCAUCACAGCUGAAUUUUAACAUAGAUUUGGUGCUAUUUUGAAUUCACGAGGAAACUACUGGAUCCUCUAUUUUCUAGCAUUUUAGUCAAAUAACAAAGCAUCAUCCCCACUCAAACAACUCUUGCAAUUAAAGAAUUUAACAUUA